GUGGGGAAUAUUCCGCAAUGGACGAAAGUCUGACGGAGCAACGCCGCGUGAGUGAUGAAGGUUUUCGGACUGUAAAGCUCUGUUGUUUAGGACGAAAGUGCCUGUUGCGAAUAGUUACAGGUAUUGACGGUACUGAACGAGGAAGCCACGGCUAACUACGUGCCAGCAGCCGCGGUAAUACGUAGGUGGCAAGCGUUGUCCGGAAUUAUUGGGCGUAAAGAGCAUGUAGGCGGGAAUCUAAGUCUGUUGUGAAAAUGCGGGGCUCAACCCCGUAUUGCGAUGGAAACUGGGUUUCUUGAGUGCAGGAGAGGGAAGGGGAAUUCCCAGUGUAGCGGUGAAAUGCGUAGAUAUUGGGAGGAACACCAGUGGCGAAGGCGCCUUUCUGGACUGUGUCUGACGCUGAGAUGCGAAAGCCAGGGUAGCGAACGGGAUUAGAAACCCGUGUAGUCC
rnacentral:rRNA from 1 species